rnacentral:rRNA from 1 species
UACAUGGGGUGCAAACGUUGCUCGGAAUUAUUGGGCGUAAAGCGCACGUAGGCGGUUCGUUAAGUCGGAUGUGAAAGCCCUCGGCUCAACUGAGGAAGUGCACCCGAAACUGGCGAGCUUGAGUACGAAAGAGGAUCGCGGAAUUCCCGGUGUAGAGGUGAAAUUCGUAGAUAUCGGAAGGAACGCCGGUGGCGAAAGCGACGUGCUGGACCUCUUCUGACGCUGAGGCGCGGAAAGCCAGGGGAGCAAACGGG